CACAGAGUAAAAUAUGAAUGUUUCCGGUGUGAAAGGACUAGUUUGUUUUCAACCCACCUUCUCAUGGAACCAACUAGGAAAUCUAGUGGAUGCAAUUUGAAUGUGGUGAAGUCUCCGAAGGGUGCUGUCCCUGUCAAUGAAAUAAGAAGCGGCUAGCUGAUGUAGCGUCUCCAGAGUGACCGAAGAGCUAUUGGUGGUGGAAUCACUUCCUUCAGCUCGUUUGCUCAACUUCCGCUUGUCCACAAAAAUUGUUAGUUUUGGGUUGCUGAGAGCAUAAAUGUGAAAAUAGGCAGGAGUUACAGAAUUACAGAGUUCCUCUACAUUAAGAAUAACUUUCAGGCCCAUUUGCUUUUUACAUCCUACUGGUGUUUAACCUGGAGUCUUUUGCUAUUUUACGAAGAGUAUUGAAACAUGUCUCUCUGGAGUCAAAUAUUUCAUUUCAGACACCUCCCUUUAUGAUGUCAAUCUAAGGGCUGAGCUAAGGGAAAUAAAUGUGAUUAUUGUUAUGAGGGCAUACAGUGAGAUGGCAGCAGCCUGUAAGCCAGAAACAGAAGCAUCACCAGAAACUGACCAUGCUGGUACCCUAAUCUCAGACUUCCAGAUUUCUGAAGAACUUCAAAGAAACAAAAGUCUAUUGUUUAAGCCACCUAGUCUGUCACAUUUUGUUAUGGCAAUGUGAGCUAACUAAUACACUACCUUUAAA
rnacentral:lncRNA from 1 species